UAUGCUGUAGACUAAUGGGUAAGUCAUAAAUUUUUGGUAUUUAGAAUUAGGCGUUCGAAUCGCCUCAGCAUAA
rnacentral:tRNA from 1 species